AGAGUUUGUCCUGGCUCAGCCUGAACGCUGGCGGCGUGGCUAAGACAUGCAAGUCGUACGGGUGUAGCAAUACACCAGUGGCGGACGGGUGAGUAAUGAAUCGCUAAUGUACCCCGGACUCUGGAUAGCCGGCCGAAAGGCCGGGUAAUACCAGAUAAUAUACCCGAUAGGCAUCUGUUGGGUCUCAAAGGGAAACCGGUCUGGGCGCAGGCGAUUUCGUAUCAGGUAGUUGGUGCGGGUAACGGCCCACCAAGCCGACGACGCGUAGCUGGUCUGAGAGGACGGCCAGCCACAUUGGGACUGAGACACUGCCCAGACUCCUACGGGGGGCUGCAGUAACGAAUCUUCCGCAAUGCACGCAAGUGUGACGGAGCGACGCCGCGUGGAGGUUAAGUCCUUCGGGAUGUAAACUCCUGUCAGGGGUUACCAAGUCUGAGAGCCCCAGAGAGCCG
rnacentral:rRNA from 1 species